UCACCUGGGGAUCUAAUUAAAAGGCAGCUCUUGGUUGGGCAAGUCUAGGGUGGGACAGAUUCUGCCUUUCUAACAAGCUCCCAGGUGAUGCAGCU
rnacentral:miRNA from 1 species